rnacentral:rRNA from 1 species
GCAGGCUGCAACCCGCCUGUAUGAAGUUGGAAUCGCUAGUAAUCGCGGAUCAGCAUGCCGCGGUGAAUACGUUCCCGGGCCUUGUACACACCGCCCGUCACACCAUGGGAGCCGGUAAUACCCGAAGUCAGUAGUCUAACCGCAAGGGGGGACGCUGCCGAAGGUAGGAUUGGCGACUGGGGUGAAGUCGUAACAAGGUAUC